rnacentral:rRNA from 1 species
GAGUUUGAUCCUGGCUCAGAACGAACGCUGGCGGCGUGGAUUAGGCAUGCAAGUCGAACGCGAAAGAGGGAGCAAUCCCUUGAGUAGAGUGGCGAACGGGUGAGUAACGCGUGAGGAACCUGCCUUUGACAGGGGGAUAACACUCCUAACGGGGUGCUAAUACCGCAUGAGACCACGGGGCUGCAUGGCCCUGCGGUCAAAGAUGGCCUCUAUUUAUAAGCUAUCGGUCGAAGAUGGCCUCGCGUCCCAUUAGCUUGUUGGCGGUGUAAAAGACCACCAAGGCGACGAUGGGUAGCUGGUCUGAGAGGAUGGUCAGCCACACUGGGACUGAGAUACGGCCCAGACUCCUACGGGAGGCAGCAGUCGAGAGGCUUCGGCAAUGGGGGAAACCCUGACCGAGCGACGCCGCGUGAGGGAUGAAGGCCCUUGGGUUGUAAACCUCUUUUGUUCGGGAAGAAAUGCGAUCAGGUGAAUAAUCUGGUCGUUUGACGGUACCGGACGAAUAAGCUCCGGCUAACUCCGUGCCAGCAGCCGCGGUAACACGGGGGGAGCAAGCGUUGUUCGGAAUCACUGGGCGUAAAGGGCGUGUAGGCGGUUCGGUAAGUGGGAUGUGAAAUGCCCCGGCUCACCCGGGGACCGGCAUCCCAAACUGCCAGACUUGAGUAUGGGAGAGGAUGAGGG